UUUCAAAACUGUUUUGGCUUCCAACUAGACUUGUCUUCAAAAUUGCCCUAUUUGGUUGAAAAAGUUUCCCUCCUUUUGAUUGAAAAAGUCAUCUCUUUAGUUAAAGCACCUCUAUUUCAAAGGGAAAAGUAUUUCAAAACCCUCUAAAUAUUUUUCUUUUUCAAAAAGAAGGCAAUUCUAACUCCUUUCUCAACACUCC
rnacentral:lncRNA from 1 species